rnacentral:misc_RNA from 1 species
UUUCCGUAGGUGAACCUGCGGAGGGAUCAUUAUUGAAUAACCGAGGCGCGAGGGCUGUCCCUGACCCUACAGGUCUUGUACGCUCUAGUGCCCUCACACUCAUCCAUCUCACCCCUCUGUGCACGACCGCGUGGGUCCCCCGUUAGCUUUUUCGCAUGUGUACUUACAAUUCGCACAAACUAUGAAUUAAGUGUAAAAAGUAUUUUUAAUUUUUGCCUUCACGCAAUCUCUACAACUUACGACAACGGUCCGCUUGGCACUCGCAUCAAUGAAGAACAC